GGGAGUGCCUUCGGGGAACCUGGAGACAGGUGCUGCAUGGCUGUCGUCAGCUCGUGUCGUGAGAUGUAGGGUUAAGUCCCGCAACGAGCGCAACCCUUGUCAUUAGUUGCCAUCAUUUGGUUGGGCACUCUAAUGAGACUGCCGGUGACAAACCGGAGGAAGGUGGGGAUGACGUCAAGUCCUCAUGGCCCUUAUGGGUAGGGCUUCACACGUCAUACAAUGGUCGGUACAGAGGGUUGCCAACCCGCGAGGGGGGAGCUAAUCCCACAAAGCCGAUCGUAGUCCGGAUCGCAGUCUGCAACUCGACUGCGUGAAGUCGGAAUCGCUAGUAAUCGCAAAUCAGCAUGCUGCGGUGAAUACGUUCCCGGGUCUU
rnacentral:rRNA from 1 species